rnacentral:rRNA from 1 species
AGAGUUUGAUCAUGGCUCAGGAUGAACGCUAGCGAUAGGCCUAACACAUGCAAGUCGAGGGGCAGCACAUGAAGUAGCAAUACUGAUGGUGGCGACCGGCGCACGGGUGAGUAACGCGUAUGCAACCUACCUACAACAGGGGAAUAACCCGUUGAAAGACGGACUAAUACCCCAUAAUACAGGGAUCCCGCAUGGGAAUAUUUGUUAAAGAUUUAUCGGUUGUAGAUGGGCAUGCGUUCCAUUAGCUAGUUGGUGAGGUAACGGCUCACCAAGGCAACGAUGGAUAGGGGAACUGAGAGGUUUAUCCCCCACACUGGUACUGAGACACGGACCAGACUCCUACGGGAGGCAGCAGUGAGGAAUAUUGGUCAAUGGACGCAAGUCUGAACCAGCCACGUCGCGUGAAGGAAGACGGCCCUACGGGUUGUAAACUUCUUUUGUAAGGGAAUAAAGUGAGCCACGUGUGGUUUUUUGCAUGUACCUUACGAAUAAGGAUCGGCUAACUCCGUGCCAGCAGCCGCGGUAAUACGGAGGAUCCGAGCGUUAUCCGGAUUUAUUGGGUUUAAAGGGUGCGCAGGCGGGGGAUUAAGUCGGCGGUGAAAUUUUGCAGCUCAACUGUAAAAGUGCCUUCGAAACUGGUUUCCUUGAGUGUAGAUGAAUUAGGCGGAAUUUGUGGUGUAGCGGUGAAAUGCAUAGAUAUCACGAGGAACUCCGAUUGCGCAGGCAGCUUACUAAACUACUACUGACGCUCAGGCACGAAGGCGUGGGGAUCAAACAGGAUUAGAUACCCUGGUAGUCCACGCAGUAAACGAUGAUUACUAGCUGUUUGCGAUACAAUGUAAGCGGCUGAGCGAAAGCGUUAAGUAAUCCACCUGGGGAGUACGUUCGCAAGAAUGAAACUCA